rnacentral:snRNA from 1 species
GGAUGUGAGGGCAAACUGGCUGCAACAUCUGUCACCUCAUUGAUUGCCAGGGUUGAUUCGGCUAAUCUGGCUGGCUAGGCAGGUGUCCCCUUCAUCCCUCACCACCCUAUGUGUAUCCCUCCCAAAGCUGUGAGCUCAGUGAAAGAGGACGCCAUCCCAGAUCGAAGGAGUGUACCAUUCUUUGGUCAAGGGUAUACAAUAGUUGUGCAGCCCUGCUAGAACCUCCAAACAAGCUCAAGGUCCAUUUGUAGGAGACGUAGGGUAAUCAAGCUUCCAAGACUCCAGACACUACCAGAGU